rnacentral:rRNA from 1 species
GAGGAAUAUUGGACAAUGGACGAAAGUCUGAUCCAGCUAUGCCGCGUGCAGGAUGACGGCCCUAUGGGUUGUAAACUGCUUUUAUACAGGAAGAAAAACUCCGACGUGUCGGAACUUGACGGUACUGUAAGAAUAAGGAUCGGCUAACUCCGUGCCAGCAGCCGCGGUAAUACGGAGGAUCCAAGCGUUAUCCGGAAUCAUUGGGUUUAAAGGGUCCGUAGGCGGUUUUUUAAGUCAGAGGUGAAAUCCUGCAGCUCAACUGUAGAAUUGCCUUUGAUACUGAAAGACUUGAGUUAUUGUGAAGUGGUUAGAAUGUGUGGUGUAGCGGUGAAAUGCAUAGAUAUCACACA